rnacentral:rRNA from 1 species
GACAGAGGAUGCAAGCGUUAUCCGGAAUGAUUGGGCGUAAAGCGUCUGUAGGUGGCUUUUUAAGUCUGCCGUCAAAUCCCAGGGCUUAACCCUGGACAGGCGGUGGAAACUACCAAGCUGGAGUACGGUAGGGGCAGAGGGAAUUUCCGGUGGAGCGGUGAAAUGCGUAGAGAUCGGAAAGAACAUCAGUGGCGAAAGCGGCUUCCUGGACCAGCACCGACGUUCAGGCACGAAAGCGUGGGGAGCAAACAGG